GAGGACUCCACAUCUUAAAUGAAAAAGAUUGAAAUCAACGCGCAUUUUCCCCUCUGUUUAACCUAUUUCACAUGAACUAAAAUCUAACCAGCCUUGUCUCUUUUUAUUUGACCAAAGGCAGUUAGUUGUUUCAUCGUAAAAAUGUGGAGCUGCAUCUGUUUUGGACACAAGCGAUGCUUUUGAUCGUGCUAAUUCACACGGAGCUGUGAUUCGUGAUCAAUGCUUUCAUCUCAUUUCACGUAGAAAUUCGUUUUCCCGUUUGAGUUCCUUUUUGUCCCGAGAAACGUGGAAAAGGCUUCAGUGAAGUGCUCUCAGGCAACAUCCUGUUUACUCAUGAAUUCACACGGCUUCCCAUUCAGCUUUAACGAACUCUGUAAAGCUCACUCUGCUCGGUUGUACAAAUACAAUCCUUCACAUCGCUUAUAGCAGCUGCACACUUCCCAGGAAAAAGCCGCCGGGUAACAAGAAAAACUUUACCACAGUUUCAUCAUCAGACAUCAGUGAGACAUACACACGGUGCAGAUGUGUUUCAGCUCCGGUGUGCACGCACAGUGCUUGUGGUAAAACUUGAAGCAAACAAUACUGGCAGAGGGAUGUUUCCUCCAGGUCCAUUUAGCAGCCGAUGAGGAGCUUUCGGUCACGAUGGGAGCCCAGUGGUCAUCGAAGUCCUUUCAAAAUAUCCUUUCUGUCUGAUCGCUUCUGAGGCUGCUGCAGAAAAAUGAAAACACCAGAGCAGGUCUUCAUAGAAGCAGUGGAAAAUAACUAUGUACUCAACUUUAGUGCUAAGGAUUUAAAAAAGUGUACUUUCCCCCAUUUUCAUUUCUGUGAGUGCUUUAGUUACUCUGGAGUUUCAGAUUAAACGUCCAACAUCGGAAUGCUUGUUUCAUUUUCUCAUUUCUAAUUUUCUGAUAUUAUAAAGCAUUCUAAUCAGAAUAGAUCAGUCAGAAACAAAUAUUUAAAGGUGCAAACAUUUGUUUCUGGACCAGAUUACAGAGGUGUUGGCAGGUGGCAGAGGCACAUCUGGAACGAAACAACUGCCUCUUGGCUCACAUCUGUAUCGCUUUCACUACACUGAAGAAAUCUGUGCUGUUUAAGCACAUGGAGCAGAUACUUACACUCCACUGUGUGCACACAAACAGUGCAGAGUGUGAAUGCUGGUACUUCCACAUUUACAUAUUAAGACUCUUCGCUGUCCAGCAGGUCACAUGACUUACUUUCCUACACUGUAAUGGUCCCAAUCAGCCAACAGCAAACAGCAACGAGGCCAGAGGUCAGAGCAGCUGGAAAAUAAGUCUGAGGUCAUAAUUAUGAAAAAGCAAUAUGGGGAAGAAGUAAUGGGGAGAAAGGCCGAGAUGAACAGGACUAACGUACAGGCUGUGCACACUGAUGGUGGAGCUCAUUAAUCCAGCAGCAGCAGCACAUCCUCCAUCGGCUCUGCGUGUGCAGCAGAUAGCAUGGAGAUCAUCUGCAUAGAUGUGUUUUGAACUGCAGACAGGAAGAGCAGUAACACAUGACUGACAUGCAUGUUUGCUCUGUGCAACCCAGAGAGAGGGCACUAAGAAGGAAGUGGUGGAAGAAGCAUAACUGAAACUCUUCAAACGUGACAUAAACAAAAUGACUAUUAUACAGUUUGAAUGAAAGACGGGAGUGCUCUCUUUACAUUGAAUAGCAAAAAUGUUUCAUAGCAUAUUUAGCUGACUUUGUAGAGAAAAUGGGAAUCUGCUGUCAAACUCUGUUGCUCAUUUCUGAAGAAAGGCAAAUAAAUAAAUAAAUAAAUAAAAGCUCAGACCUCAUUAUUUGAUUUUGAACAAGGUCUCCUCUCUUCUCCUGACUUUUCCUGCCUGAGCAAACUCAUCAUUACAGUAAUGAGGACUGUUCCUCUCAGCUUGUUGUUUGUCUUUUUGUUUUUCACGUUUUCUCCACAAAGAUGCUGAAGUAACACGAGAUGUUUCCUACCUGCAGGCUCUGCAAGGAGGAGCACUGGGCCUAAUACCGGCACAAAGAAGAAGACGAGAGGUCCGACUUUUCUUCUUAAACUUUUUGGACAUAAACGCCCUCGCAGCCUCUCAGAACAGUGAUUGUGUAUUUUGUUUUUUUAAGUGAUGAAUAAAAACUUCAUUUUGUGGAUUCUGCAGCAAACUGAAGCCUUCAUGCAGUAUCAGAGGUUGGUGUGUGUACAGUAAUAACCAUGUUCUUACUUCUUGCCUUAUUCUGACAGCAUCACUCAUUGAAGGG
ensembl:lncRNA